UAUACAGGUAUUGGAGAGGGGUUUAUAGGUUGAGGGAGUGUAUGAGGGUGUGGUCUAUAGGUUGGGGGUGUGUCUUAAGGCGGAGUCUACAGGUAUUGGAGAGGGGUAUAUAUGUUGAGGGAGUGUAUGAGGGUGUGGUCUAUAGGUUGGGGGUGUGUCUUAAGGCGGAGUAUACAGGUAUUGGAGAGGGGUUUAUAGGUUGAGGGAGUGUAUGAGGGUGUGGUCUAUAGGUUGGGGGUGUGUCUUAAGGCGGAGUCUACAGGUAUUGGAGAGGGGUAUAUAUGUUGAGGGAGUGUAUGAGGGUGUGGUCUAUAGGUUGGGGGUGUGUCUUAAG